UAAUAAUAGAUAGUAGUUACCUUAUAAAUAAUAUAGUGAUAUCUACUAUCCUUUCUGAAAUAUAUAAUAAAUAUUUUAGCAAAAUAUUCGAUUUAUUAUACUCUAAACAUUUAUUUUACAUCAGAUUUGAAGAGAAGGUUUUAUUUCCAUCAGAUUUUCUAUCGCUUUUACCAUUCGUUUUCGAUUUUUGCGUUAUUUAAUGCCCUUCUUUUCAACAUGCAUUCUUUGAACAAAUACUUCUCCAGUUUCCAUUUCCUACAAAAUUCUCCAUCCCGAACGAUGGAGCCAACUUAGCCUGCAUGAUUCCUCAGAGACUCUUUCCAUCACUUCAGACACCACUCUUUCAUGUAAUAUUCAAAGCUAUGAUCAUCAACAACCGGCUUUUGAAAUAUUACGUCAAAUGGAAUUCAGGAUUUAUCAAAGAAAUUUCUCUACGCAUUUUCGUUUACUUUAUAUCAUUAAUUUUCUAACACUUUUCGAUUUAAUUU
rnacentral:misc_RNA from 1 species